AUCUGUUCUAAGUGUUUGCGGUACAUUCUUUACAGAUAUAAUGAGUAUUAUACUGAAAGAGCUCAAGACGAUCAGGCAGCAAAAUGAACAAAUCCUGACAGCCCUUGGUGUGACCAACCAAAAGGAAAGUAUGGCACUCGCCAAGAUGAAGCUGCCUGUAACCGACAUAGACAGCCUGGAUGCCUUGGAAUUAAAGUUGACAACGGAUACAGUCUUUCGGGCUUGCCUUACGCACCGACUUUCACUUGUUGGAGGCCCCAGUUUGAGGGCUUUCGUAGCGGGUGUCCUUCGCUUCCUGUUCAGUGAUGCCGUGGGGCAGCAGUUCAGUAUGCUGGGCCAACGCAAGAAGAGAAGAUUGAAGGACAUGGUUAUUUACAGCGUCGUCGAACAGGCCGUUAGGAGCAACUGUGCUUAUGACAAUGCGACAUCCCACUCCAUCCGUGAUGCGGCGGGAUCCUGGCUCAAGAACUGCACCACGAGGAUGAUGACUGCUAAAAAGUCUACACCAUCAUAGACAAGAGAGAAUUGAAAAAACCUUGAAAGCCACAGGAGAGAGUGACCAAUCUUCUAUGCAAGGAAAGUUGGGGAAGAUACCAAUGACUCGAGCUCCUGUGACUAAGCACUCAGAGUGGCAAAUGGUUUUUUUUUUUUUUUUAUCGUCUUCUGGCAAAGUUGUCUCUGGAUUUUCGUGCAUUUCCUUUUAUAGGGGCCCCACAAUGCCUUUAGAAAUAAAAACGUGGAGCAUCUUAGUUAUGAAGGAGACAGUUUUCAAAUAAAGAUUGCGUAUUUUAUGAGUGGAGUUGUUAAACAUAAAAUUCUGCCCUUUCUGAGCACUCACAGCGUGAUGCUUCUUUUCCUUGUUCCUACUACGCUCGAAGCUGUGACCGCAGGAAACAAUGGGCUGCCAUGUUCUGCCAAUCGUUAUAAUAAACUUUUUUUUUGGUUUGCUUAAUCAGGCUGUGCAACCUUUGUUGAAUCACGGAAAUCAGCGUCAUUCUUUGCCGCACCAGAUGGCACCAACACCAUAUCAAGGAGGCUGCAGAAAAUAUCCAGACUUGGCACAUUGCAAUGG